CGCGGGGUGGAGCAGUUCGGUAGCUCGUCGGGCUCAUAACCCGAAGGUCGUCGGUUCAAAUCCGGCCCCCGCAA
rnacentral:tRNA from 1 species